rnacentral:lncRNA from 1 species
CGGUGUUCCUGGUAGCGUCAGCCUCCUGGCUUUUCCUUUUCCUCUUCCUCGACGCUUCAGGGCUCCGCGGCCUGCGCUGGACUGGAGGGUCCGCGUCACUCUCGCCCUCCUGCUUUCCGCGCUCUGACCCGCUCCCGCCUCCUGAGGGCACGACUUGGAGGAGCGCGGGCGGCGGGGCGUGAGCGAGCUGCCUCUGCCGCCAUCUUAGAGAAGGCGAGCGUGGGGUGUGCGUGGGCGCGAGUCGGCCUCCCGCGGUCCCGCCGCAGCGUGGCGCGGAGAGCCACAAUGUGAAGAAAGUCCUUGUACCCUUCGCCUUCCGCCAUAAUGCUUUAAAAAAAAAAGUCUGGGGCCGGGCGUGGUGGCUCACGCCUUUAAUCUCAACACUUUGGGAGGCUGAGCGGGUGGAUCACCUGACGUCGGGAGUUCGAGACCAGCCUGACCAACAUGGAGUUACCCCAUCUCUACUAAAAAUACAAAAUUAGCUGGGUGUGGUGGCGCAUACCUGUAAUCCCAGCUACUUGGGAAGCUGAGGCAGGAGAAUCGCUUGAACCUGGGAGGCAGAGGUUGCGGUGGGCCGAGAUCGCACCAUUGCGCUCCAGCCUGGGCAACGAGAGCAAAACUCGGUCUCAAAAAAAAAAAAUAGUCUGGAAACAAUUCAAAUGUAUAUCAAUAGGAGGAUGGGAAGACAAAUUGUGGGCCCAGCACAAUGACUUAACACCUGUAAUCCCAACACUCUGGGAGGCCAAGCCAUGAGGAUCACUGGAGGCCAGGAGUUUGAGACUAGCCUGAGCAACAUAGCGAGACUCUGUCUUUACCAAAAAAAAAUUAAAACUUAGCUGAGCAUGUUGGCACAUGCCUGGAGUCCCAGCUACUUGGGAGGCUGAGGCAAGAGAAUUGCAUGAAUCCAGGAGUUCAAGGUUGCAGUGAGGCGUGAUCACACCACUGUACUUCACCCUGGGUGAGAGCAAGACCUUGUCUUAAAAAAGUAAAAGAGUAAAACAAAUUGUGAUACAGUCAUACGAUGGAGUACUAUUGAGCAAGUCAAAGGAAAGGACUGCUGAUACAACAUGGACAAAUCUCAAAAACAUUGCAUUUGGCAAAAGAAGCCAGACACAGAGUACAUAGCAUAUGAAGCCAUUUAUAUAAAAUUUAAGAACAGGAAAAAGUAAUCUAUGUUUAGUAUCUUCUUAUGGCAGAGGUAGUAGGUUGGGAUUUUAGUGGAAAGGAUUAUGAGGGAACAUGGUAGGAUAGUGAAAAUGUUCUGCACUGUCUCAGCUGCACUAAUGACAUAUAGCUAUUAAAAUCUAUUAAUUAAAACUUAAAAUUCAUUUCCACUGUCACAGUAGCUACAUUUUAAGUGUUCAAUAGCCACAUGUGGCUACUGCCUACUAAGUUGGACAGUGCAAAUACCGACUUCUAUUAUCUCAGAAGUUCUACUAGAGAGUUCUAGUCUAGACGUUGUUUUAUGCAGGUGUUUACAUUUUUCAAAAUUGUAAUUAAUAUGCAUUAUAUGCCAGUAAUACCUGCC